rnacentral:rRNA from 1 species
GAAGCGUUGUCCGGAUUUACUGGGCGUAAAGCGUGCGCAGGCGGUUUGAUAAGACAGGCGUGAAAUCCCCGGGCUCAACCUGGGAACUGCGUUUGUGACUGCAAGGCUAGAGUACGGCAGAGGGGGGUGGGAAUUCCACGUGUAGCAGUGAAAUGCGUAGAGAUGUGGAGGAACACCGAUGGCGAAGGCAGCCCCCUCGGGCCAAUACUGACGCUCAUGCACGAAAGCGUGGGGAGC